AUUGAACGCUGGCGGCAGGCCUAACACAUGCACGUCGAACGAGUGGCGGACGGGUGAGUAAUGGCUGGGAAACUGCCCGAUGGAGGGGGAUAACUACUGGAAAAGGUAGCUAAUACCGCAUACCCUCGGAUGUGCCCAGAUGGGAUUAGCUAGUAGGUGGGGUAAAGGCACACCUAGGCGACGAGCCCUAGCUGGUCUGAGAGGAUGACCAGCCACACUGGAACUGGGACACGGUCCAUACUCCUACGGGAGGCAGCAGUGGGGAAGAUUGCACAAUGGGCGCAAGCCUGAUGCAGCCAUGCCGCGUGUGUGAAGAAGGCCUUCGGGUUGUAAAGCACUUUCAGCGGGGAGGCGUUACCCGCAGAAGAAGCACCGGCUAACUCCGUGCCAGCAGCCGCGGUAAUUC
rnacentral:rRNA from 1 species